GGAGAUGUUCAGAUCUGUAGACUGCAGGGAACUGUGUGCUUAUGCCAUGAUUGUGAUGUCAGAGAAGAUAAUGAAGACUCAGAAGAAUGGGGGAAUCAGCCCAGGGGUCAAGGGACCCAAGGACAGGGAAGAAUCAGGAAUUUUCUGAGGUCAGGGUCAUAGAGGUAUCCGUCUAGAAGAUGGUGAGUGGUGAGUAAAGAGUGGGAUCCUCAACACGAGAUUUGAGGUGCCAGCAAGGAGACCCACAAGCUGCUGAAGAAGACUAAAGGAGGACCCUAGGAGCACAAGGAGCAUCUGAGCCUGCCAUCCACAGGAAGUAUGAGGACAUGGCUCAUUUUGGUAUAGGCACAACAGAUCCUCUCAGAAGCCUCCUGUUUAGAGAAACCUGCAUGGCCAUCCCUUCCUGUGACUGACUCCAUCCAUCGCUGAUUGGUUCCUUGUUUUCUGCAAAGAGUGUGAAAAUGCUCAGCUGGCUGGGCUGGCCGGCCAAUGAAAUGCAAAGAUGGGCCUGUAUCAGCCCAACAGGAGAGUUGGAGUGUCUUAUGUGCCUGAAGUCGGCUUCUGCAUCUUGCUCUGUAUCUUAUUUCUCCUCGAUCCCGGGAUACAAGAACAACUGGUAUCCUGUAAAGCAGAAAAGAAGCCAAGAACAGAGAACAGAGUCAAUGGAAGGGAACAAAGGGACUUUGUGAUUUUGAUUUUAAUUAUACUGACUC
rnacentral:sRNA from 1 species